UAGAAACAACUGCACGUUCUCGCUUGUA
rnacentral:sRNA from 1 species